ACAACCCAAACUGGGGCUGAGGAAGAGUAUUUCUUUCUUGCUGGAGUCAACAAGUAGAUCUUUCUGCACUCAGUGGCCUUGGUGUCUCUCUACUUGUUGCCCUGAAGGUCUGCAGGAUCCUACUUUGUGAAGUCAUCUAGUUCUCUACCUAUAAUCAUCACUCUGAAGGAUAUCCCACAAUCUUCUUCCUCAAAUGAUGUGCCCUUCUGCAAGAUAUUACCCUACAGAUUGAAGAAAGUACGUGGAAGUUUAUUGGUAGCAAGGUACUACAACAAUUAAUGUCAUGAAAGAGAUGAAGUCAAUUUACAUUUCCUGCAGAAGGAAGAGGAAAAAAGAAGAACGGCAUUGUCUGUGAAGCUGAGAGAAUUUGUGUUUUCCUGUGGGCAAGCACUUGUCUUACAGGAGGCAUUGAACAAAAUGCAGGAGCAGCUAUUGUCCCACCCUGCAACAACACAGCCCAACGCUGAAGCUAUCUGCAUACAUGAAAAUCUGACAGAAUUCUUCAUUUCAAGAAG
rnacentral:lncRNA from 1 species